AGCACGGAGGUUUUGAAGCAGAGAGACUUUGGAGUUCUGUUUUGAGUCGGGGGAACGUUCGCAAAGAGUUUUUGGAAGAUUAGCUAAGGAGAAAACCGUAAGGUUAAUGGACGUAAUUCCAUGGUCUUCAAGGAGAAAAUACAUGGUGGUGCCCUUAUUGUGUGUGGAAUGAUUUGCAUGGGAGCUCAGUCUUGGGGGUUAUCCUGAAACUCCAAUGGUCUGUCAUUCUCAAUUAGAGAGGAUUGAUUCAUGUGGUGAGGAGUAGCAGGAGGUCCUAGUCUUGGAGGCUUCCAGUAUGCUCCAAGGUGAGUAAUAACGGACUAACCUCGUGAGUGUGGUAGGGUGAAACCCAUUGACAAUGGCUUUGCAAAGCAGUAGAGGCCACCACGAGUGCACGACCCACCAUAGCUCGGCAAUCAUUCAAGUCCGGACGAGUCAAGUGUCAAGUGUAUUAGGUCAAGUGUAAAAGGGUAACAAGUCAUGUGUAUAGUUGAAUUCAUC
rnacentral:sRNA from 1 species